rnacentral:rRNA from 1 species
AUUGAACGCUGGCGGCAUGCCUUACACAUGCAAGUCGAACGGCAGCACGGACUUCGGUCUGGUGGCGAGUGGCGAACGGGUGAGUAAUGCAUCGGAACGUGCCAUUGAGUGGGGGAUAACGUAGCGAAAGUUGCGCUAAUACCGCAUAUUCUGUGAGCAGGAAAGCAGGGGACCGCAAGGCCUUGCGCUCUUUGAGCGGCCGAUGUCAGAUUAGCUAGUUGGUGAGGUAAAGGCUUACCAAGGCGACGAUCUGUAGCGGGUCUGAGAGGAUGAUCCGCCACACUGGAACUGAGACACGGUCCAGACUCCUACGGGAGGCAGCAGUGGGGAAUUUUGGACAAUGGGGGCAACCCUGAUUCAGCCAUGCCGCGUGAGUGAAGAAGGCCUUCGGGUUGUAAAGCUCUUUCGGCCGGGAAGAAAUCGCAUGGGCUAAUACCCUGUGUGGAUGACGGUACCGGAAUAAGAAGCACCGGCUAACUACGUGCCAGCAGCCGCGGUAAUACGUAGGGUGCGAGCGUUAAUCGGAAUUACUGGGCGUAAAGCGUGCGCAGGCGGUUUUGUAAGACAGGCGUGAAAUCCCCGGGCUUAACCUGGGAACUGCGCUUGUGACUGCAAGGCUAGAGUACGGCAGAGGGGGGUGGAAUUCCACGUGUAGCAGUGAAA